UCCCUGGUAGCUCAGACGGUAAAGCGUCUGCCUACAAUGCGGGUGACCCGGGUUCGAUCCUUGGCUCAGGAA
rfam:TPA: Bos taurus chromosome 26, whole genome shotgun sequence.